AUGCUAGACCAGGCUGCCCAGGGCCCCAUCCAACCUGGCCUUGAACACCUCCAGGGAUUGGGGCAUCCACAACCUCUCUGGAUCGUCUUUUAUGAAUACUGCACCGCUGUUUUAAGAAAAGACAAAUACAAGGAGGGAAAAAACAGAACCUCUGCGAUUCUUCUUUUUCCCUACGAAGUGUUAUGGGUGAAGGCUGUGGAGAAUCGUGGGUUUCCCCAGUUCAGACUUGAACCUCCCACCAAUUAUGUGACCUUCAGGCUAUGGGCCUCAGCAGCUCCAGUGUGGACAUAGAAGAAUCCUGAGCAGAGCCCACAGUGUGUACAAAUCAGCUGCAUGCUGUCCCAAACCCUUCUGCACACUGAGAUCAGGAGCAUCAUGGAGAUGUUGGCCACAAAAUAAACGGAGGAUGGAUGAGCUUGGAUAAGGAUAC
rnacentral:lncRNA from 1 species